rnacentral:rRNA from 1 species
UACGUAGGGUGCGAGCGUUGUCCGGAAUUAUUGGGCGUAAAGCGCGUGUAGGCGGUCCGGUAAGUCCGCUGUGAAAGUCGAGGGCUCAACCCUCGAAUGCCGGUGGAUACUGUCGGGCUUGAGUACGGGAGAGGCGAGUGGAAUUCCUGGUGUAGCGGUGAAAUGCGCAGAUAUCGGGAAGAACACCGGUGGCGAAGGCGGCUCGCUGGGCCGUUGCUGACGCUGAGGCGCGAAAGCGUGGGGAGCAAACAGG